AUCCAGCUGACCAGUCCCAAAUAGGACGAAACGCAAGUCCUGGAU
rnacentral:hammerhead_ribozyme from 1 species